CAACACAGGCAGUCACAUCCGAAGAUAAACCGGAUUUCAACUCGGCAUCAGCAGGUGACAUUUCUGUUUGAAACAAGUUGAACUUAACUCCUGGCAAGUGCUGAGUGCUACUUGUAGACAGUUUAUGAAAUGCAGUGAAGACAAAGCUCACACACAGAACAGUGGUGGUGGUUCGCUUUCACUUUUUUUGUGCCUUUCAUCCAGAGUAAUCAGGGCCACAGACAUGGAUGGAGGAUUAGCUCCUGGAGAAUGGGUGGUGGCUUAAGCUCCAGGUGUGCAGACAUCUGCCUGUGCUUGCAGACUGUGGGUGAUGGUUCUCUCCAGAGCCCUGCUGUCGGUGUAGGAGUGAUGUCAGCAACCAGCAUUGCUGCUUAUCACUUGAGCAUCAGCUGUGCUUCCUUUCCACUUGCCCCCUAUUCUUCAGGUGCUCAGUAGUUCCUCUAAAGGCAGGGGGAAAACUAAUAGAGACACUUGCAGAGCUAAUGUAAAGGACAAAAAGGUGUUUCAAAGACAAAUAUUACCUGCUGUAAUGGCCCUGGUGUCACGAUGUAGUUUGUAAUGUGUGUGGCAAGAGGAAUAUAGUAGCAAUGCAUUAGGCACCCAGAGUUUCUGCCAUAUUUAGGCAUGUUAGCCUAAAGGUCAAAACCUGAUAUAUUUAAAGAGAGAAAGACUUUUACCUUCUUGAUCUUGAUACUCCUGUGAAAAAUAAGAAACAAGAGGCUUUACUUAUAAAACAAGGAGUGGGUGGCAAAAUAAGGACAGUAAAUGGCAAGAAGAUGUUGCUGCAGAGGGAAAUGAAGAAAACCUUAUGUUUCUCGCUAAUUUUUCACAGUAGCAGCCCUACAAACUGUUGUAUCAUAAAAUAUAAAAAAUAAAUAGAGGAGGAUUGUUAGGAAAUGGCAAAAGCAACACUUGAGCCCACUAUGCAAAAUUAUUACCUUCAAAUGUGUCUGCCAAGAUACAAAAUAUACAAUUCACACAACCCAAAGGUGAAAAUAUUUUUCAGUUGCUGCACUAUGCUUGCAGCAGGCUGAGGAAUAUUAGAAAUAGAGAUUUCAUUCAUUAAAACAGACUUCUCUGGUAUGUAGUCUAAUAUGAUUCUCAAGAAUGAUCCAAUAAAAUUUUCUAUCUCGUAAUUCUCUGUUUACAUCCAGCAAGCAAUACUGUAGACAUUGCAGAGGUUCAGAACAAUGCAUGGUGGGUUGGUGCAGAGGUUGGUAACUGCUCUCCUUCCAAAAGUGUUGGCUUCUUUUUAAUAUGGUAGUCUGGACUUCUAUAUUUGAGUUGCAGCGGGGAGAGACUGGUGAAAUUGAACCAGGGAAACUGCAGUGACUUCAUCUUCUCAUCUUUGGUGAGUUCAUGCCGGAUUCUGUGGCGCCAGUAUCAUACUAAACAUCUGUUGUUUUGAUUCCUCUGUUUAAAUAGAUUGGAUUAGAAGGGGAGAAAAACCAUCAUCUCCUCCCCCUCACCGUUCUGUCCAAAGCUUAGUUACUGUGAAGACAAGUCUUAUUUAUUCCCUUUUAGAAAAGGCUUUGCUGACAUGGAGUGUUUGAUUUUUUGGAAACUGGUUGCGACUCAAUUUUCAGCUACAUCAAGAUAUAAGAUCUAAUUACUGUGUGUUACAUUCAGAUAGGCUGCACGUAGGCUCCUCUGUAAAUCUCUAUGAAGUCCAUUGAUGUUGAUAGGCUUCACUGUCUGAACUGACAGGCUCUGGAAUUACAGCAGUGCAGCUGAAACCAGGACCUGUUUAAAUUUGUGUUGUUUAGAUCUAGGAAAAAUUUUGUUUGGUAUUGUAACUGCAGGAGAUAAGUUCUGUGUUCUGAGAAGCAACAGACACCAUCCAUUGAGGGUCUCGGUAUACUCCUAAACCUAAAGGCAAAACAUUAUGGAUGUUAAGUCUGUGCUUCUUUUAAAUGCUAUAGAUAUAUCAAGAGGACUGUUUGCAUGUUGAUACAAGAGGGAAACAAGAUUUUCUGUGCAUCACCAAGAACUAUAAUUGAUCCCUAUACCAAGUGCAGAGAAGCUACUGCCAGUGAAUUCCAACACCUCAUCCUAUGCUGAGUCCACUGAAAUAUCAAACUACUAAUACAAGAUCUGCUGAAAGGAAAACCCCUCACCACCAGGUUAUGGGCUGUGUGGCAACAGGAACAGGCAGAGCAGCUCUGACUGGAGAUCUGUACUGUGGGUGAGCUGAUGUGCCCUUCCCUGGUGGGGGUUCUCAUGAUCACAGUGCUGAUCCCGUGGGUGGUGCACAGUGGAUGGCAUUUGCCACACACACCGGUUUAGGUCACUGGAACAUUCGAUUUCCUUCCCCCUUCCCUUGUUUUUAAUUCAGUCUCUUAGUUGAGAGAAGACCGAGAUUAAAAAAAUAAAGCAAAUGCCAACAAGAGCGGAAAAAGAGUGCUCUGCUGGGACUGGCUGUAGCAAAGGGUGGCAGCGGUCCAGAAGCAAAGAUGAAAGUCUCAAAUCAAGAAGAAAGCUGAAAGAACCAGCUGGGAAAAAGAAAACACAUGAACAGAAGAUGCAAGUGUGGCAUUAAACCAAGGACCAAGUGGGUGAACCCUUACCUUAAUGCUUUUCAUGUGAGUGCAGUGCAUGGUGGGGUUUGCAAACUGUAGGGGCAGUUUACGUGUAAAGUGAGCUGUUUAUGCCAGGGGGUCAGUGCAGAAUGAGAAAAAUAGAAACAGAACAAUGAGUAUUGCACAGUCUCUCAAAAAUGAGCCUACCCCCCACCUCCCAUCAAUUAAAAAAAAAUAGGUCAGUUGCAGUAAUUGAGCAUUGUCUUCAUUCCCCUCACUUGUAGUAUGUUUCUUUACUGUUUUAUAUUAUCCUACCAGGUCAUUAUGAAUGAGCAGAAAUGGUUUUUAGGGGAGGAAAAAAGUAUUUUUGUGAGUAGAAUCACCAUCAGCACCUUGAUUCUGGAUUGCUACGCUUGUUUUUGACUGAGUUCUUUUGCAGUUUUAAAAUCAACUCAGGCUGGCCAUUGUAAUUUCACAUCAUUAUUUUAAAUGAAAGAACUGCUUGGAGGGAAGAGUCUAACUAAAACAUCUUAAUUAAGAUUACAGCUUAUCCAAAAGACUGCCAGUCAGCUAAAUCUAAAAAGUAUUUUUGUAGGUUUUAGGAUAAUUUAUGGACAGAGUUAAUUCAGCUGCAUUCAAAAAUUACGUUGUACUUACGCUGGUAUCACUUAAUGUUAAUAUGGUUUAUGUUAUUGUUUCUUUGUCUGCCACAGUACUUUUCCAAACAAGAGGAGGGUGUAAAAAUGCUCCUGCUUCUAACUGUGGUCCAUCAAAACCUCCCUUUCUAGGCACAUUCUGUGUAUCUAUUAGAGGUGACAAGGGUAGUAGAUCUAAUGGAUUUAAUGUUUGAAAGUGAAACAACUAAUGCCAACUGGGGUUUCUAAAGUCUAAAUUAAUAUUAAUCUUUCUAAGCUAAAGCCAACACUUCAAGUGACAUGACCUUUUUAAAAAGUGUUUCGUAAAUCUUUUGGGGAAGGCAAGAAAUCAUAUUAAGGUCACCUAUCUUGGAUUUAUGAGUCUUUAGACAUAUAAGAAACAUAAUACACAAAAUAGCUCAAGACUUUACAUGGAAUUGUCACUGGGAGUCUUGAAGAGAAAUGAAACAAAGUAGUUUCCAAACUAUCUUCACUGUCUUGGUUUCCACUAAAAACAUCUGCAAACUGUACUUGGUUAAGACCCCCAAAAGUCAGGUGUACUGUAUUAAGGAUUACUGGGGGAAGAUAUUACUCUUUUUUUGUUUUAAUACUAAAGAAGUAUUAGAGAUUUUUUAAACUUUUAUGAACAGUACGCCAAUGAUUGCUAGAACAGGCUGGCAUAUCCAUGAGUGUGCAUGUGAAACUGUACAUGUCCCUAAUAGUGAGGACAAGGGAGUGCUGCAUAUUCCUUCUCAAAAGAUGCUUUCUAUUUUUGGUAAGUUUACAAAACAAAAUAGCUAUUCAGACCUUAUUUGCCAGUUCCAGUCUGUGGGGUAAAUAGAAGGCAAUGCUUUAAACAAAUCAAGUUUUAAGAAGAAAAAUAAUCAGCUACUCUAUAUAUAUUGCUUUAGAAAGGACAAACACAUACUAAGAACAUGCACAUGGAUAAUAAGAUGAGGGCAAGACACCAAUUCCUUGUAAGCAGCAUUUGUUAAUAUUGUGUUAAUUGCAGUACUUCACUUGCAGAGCAAAGGGAUCAGAGAUCCUUCCCCUGUACCCUUGCCAUUUUCGCCAGUUUUGCUGUUCUGGUAUUUCUUAAAACUCCUUACUCAGAACCUGUCAUCUUAUAAACCUAAAGGUCAGAGCUCUCACUCUUCAAAGAAAAAUAUCUUGCAAUUAAAACAUUUGACUUAGUUGUUCUGUACAGGUCUUACAUUUAUUGAAAGCCAAGACAUUAGUGAGGUUUUUUUCAAGUUUGGUUUCCACACUGCUGAACUAUGUGCUGGUUUAACAUCACAUCUGUGGCAUCUAACAAGCUGCAGGAAUAGCUUUUUCAUUUUAAUGCUGAACCAAAAGCAAAACCACCAGCAAAGAAACUGAGCAUGUUUGGGUAGUACUUCUUCUCUAUCAACCUGAAAGCCAAUGCCACCUCUUGUAUCCGCUCUUUCUAGGAACAAAUUACAUCUGCCUUCCCUAUGUGAUCCUCUACUUGUUUCAGUACAUCCACAUUAGUUGUACUGCGACACAUGUACUGUGGCACAAGGCAGGCAGGUUCUUAUAACCUACAGCCCUAAUUUAUGAGCUCCAAAAAUUGGGGAGUAUUUCAUCUGCCAGUAGAUCUGUCAGGUUCCUUUAUAUCAGGCCCCUUGCACUGCAAACAUAUCAAAUCUUCAUCCUAGAAAAAAGCCUUGGUUUAUCAAUUAAGGACUUAUUUGUAAGAAGUGCCAACAGCCCUGUUGAGAGGAGAGCUGAAAUCUGAUUUUCUUCUGAAAUGAUGCGCUAAACCAGUGAACUGUUGAUAAGAUCUUUAUUUUUUUUCUCAGGGGAAAACAGGUUAACUCAAAAAUAAUUUAGUCAGUGAGUAGUUUUUCUGUAAGUAUCAGCAAGAGUUUACUUCUUAUUAAAAGGGCUAUACAAAUAGUUAUUUAAAAGAUGGUAAUUCAAAGCCAUCAAAAAGGGAGGAAAUUCCCUUUGCUUUGCUUCACAUGAAUCCUACUUGGUUUUGCUCUUUUUAUGUGACAAAUAUGGAUAUAGGUUACCAAUACAAAAGCAGGAACAGCUCUCUGAGCAAACUCAUCAUUUCUUCAGAUGUUGAUUGUGUAGGGAUGUUAAUAGAGAGCAAAUGCUGCAACAAUCCUUUUUUUUUUUUUUUUUUUUUU